GUCUACGGCCAUACCACCCUGAAUUCCCCCAUCUCGUCUGAUAUCAGAAGCUAAGCAGGGUGGGGCCUGGUUAGUACUAGGAUGGGAGGAAUUACACUGGAUGUGCAGCUU
rnacentral:rRNA from 1 species